UACGUAGGGCGCAAGCGUUGUCCGGAAUUAUUGGGCGUAAAGGGCUCGUAGGUGGUUUGUUACGUCUGCUGUGAAAACCUAGGGCUUAACCCUGGGCCUGCAGUGGAUACGGGCAGACUAGAGGUAGGUAGGGGAGAAUGGAAUUCCCGGUGUAGCGGUGAAAUGCGCAGAUAUCGGGAGGAACACCGGUGGCGAAGGCGGUUCUCUGGGCCUUACCUGACACUGAGGAGCGAAAGCGUGGGAGCGGAAC
rnacentral:rRNA from 1 species